CCUCUCGAAUCUGCGGACACCGGGAGCGCUGCGGAGUGUAUCAAAUAAACGUUCGAUUAGUAUAAUAAUAUAUUCGUCAGCAAUAUUGUAAGUAUUUGUCAGUUAUCGCGUAUACGUCGAUUAAUCUGUGGAGUAAUCAUAAAACUGAACCCGUUUCUGCCGUAACGUAAUGAAAUGUUAUUUCGUGGCAAUGUGGAAAUUAUAAUCAUCCUAACAAUUUCAAUUUAAUGACAAAAAAACAAAACAAACUUGCUUUUGAAACGAUCAAGUUUACUAAAAGUUAGUUCAACUAAAUAGUACGUGUCUUCGAAAUAAUAGUCGGGAUAUUUCCAAGGACUCUGCGGUCAUUUGAGAACUGUUGAAAUGUUGUAAGUUUCCAUAAAUUGUUUGCUGAAGAACACUUUAUUUUAGAACAGUCGUUUUCAGAAAUAAAAAACAAAGUAAUUAUACAAACUUAUGAAUAAUACGACUAGAAAUAAAGCAAAACGGUGAGUAUUUAUUUUUGUUUUAUCAAUAAAUCGUAAUCAGGAGCGUGCUAUGAGUAUUCGUUUUUUCUUAUUCAUUAUAAUUUAUAAACAUUGAAAGAUUUAUAAAAUCAAACAGUAAAUAAACUUAAAAUGCGUACAAUUUCGGGGAGGGAAAGUAGAUGUUCCUCCCCUUAUAUCAGAGACACGCUUCUGAUACGAAUUACUUUAAUCUUGCUAAACGUGUAUUUGAUAAAAAUCAAAAUAAUAUUCAAAAUAAUUACUUUAGAUUUUAGAAGCCUAUCAAUAAAAUUAAAAACGAUUGAAAAAUAUACCAAUUUUCGUUUUUAAUUUUUCACUGCUUUAUAAUAUUAUAGUUUUGAACUGUUUCACGUUGGCUAUUUUCCACCAAAACCGAUUUAUCG